ACCUUGAGCAUUUUGAUUAAAAUUCUGUACUCUAUUCAGACCCAUUAGAUGCAGAACAAGGAUCUGGUGUGGCAAGAAGGAUGACUGAAGCGCAGUGGGUCCUGGCAUGAAGGAUUGGAACUCAUGUAGAGCUCUCCCUGUCAGGUGGCCAGUGAAUUUACAACUGCCAGUGUGUAGCUAAGAACAAGGAAUGAUGACGGAUAUCAAGCGAUGCAGUGGGAGAGUCCAURAUUUCAGACCACAUUUUAUACUGCGAGUUUACUGGUUUCCGCUAUCAAUAAAAUGUGUGAAUUAU